UUUUUUUUGAGACAGGGUCUCACUUCAUCACUCAGGCUGGAGUGUAGUGGCAUGAUCUGGGCUCACUGCAGCCUUGACCUUCCAGGUUCGAGCGAUCCUCCUGCCUCAGCCCCCCAAGUAGCUGGGACUACAGGCACACGCCAUCAUUCCUAGCUAAAAUUUCUUAACCACGUACAUACACUUGUUUCAUUUUAAAUAGAUGACAAGAAAGUCUACCAAAGAAAAAAGUCUGGAUGGAUGGGAAAUUUAUUUUUCACCCUAUUACAACGUUUUCCUAUAGAUUUCAAUCCUCAAGAGGAACCAAAAAGCUCUUGCUUUUCUCUCCCUGCCUCCAGCUUGACAACCCUAUGCUGUGAAUAGGCAGCUCCUCUCUCAGAUAUACACCAUGCCAGCCUUGGCACAGGGUGGUGCCCCUUUUCAUUCUUAUCUCCAUCACCCUUGAUUGCCAAGCCUUCCCUUGGCAGCUGGACCCUGGGCUGAAUGCCAAGAUGAAGGACUCCAUUGGGCAUCAACCCUUCAUCAACCCCAGGGAGGCCACAGGACACAUUGAAUGCCACCUCUCCUCUUAGCCUUCAGCCCAGCUUUUAGCAGGGCACCCUUGAGGACUGAAUAGGUCCAGAGGGAGGCAGCAGCUAACGUGCUCGAAGGAGGUGUUCUGCAGACAGUUGAGGAAGGGAUGGAGGCCAACAGGGCAGGGGGAUGUAGAGUCUGUGACCAUGGUUUCCCACUUUUCCCAGUGCCUGGUAUCUGAGUCAGUGUGCCACUUGCCAUGUGCUCUGCUCUGUGGGACAAGAAUAUAGCCUUCAAUGGGGGGUUUGAGCUUAUGCUCACCUGUGGCUGACGUUUCUGCUGUCUGCUCAGAGGUCUAACCUGAAUGAACUGAUAACACCUGCCAUUGCUCCUAGAUGUACCCCUCAACUCCACACAUCCUGUGCAUCCAACUGACUUGACAAACACUUUGAAAGGGCCCUCAAGUCCUCUCUUUGUCCAAGAUGCUUUGUUUGACUCUUCCUGGCCUCACUGAGAGCAGCCAGUGGGUGUCCUCUGCACAACUGGGUCAUUCUGCAAACUUUCAUCUGUGUCCAGGUUCUGUGUACCUAGAGGUGAGCUCCUUCUCGGAGCUCCUUGUGGAGCUUUGUUUAAAUGAGAAUUUGCCAAAUGACUGAAUAGCUGGGGCAGGAGCAGCAGCCAGCCAAUCUCAUUCACCAGGUAAUGGAGUUGGGCAGACAAACUUCAGAGAUGGCCUUUAUACAGGGAAGAGAGUUAUAGCCAAAGGCUCCAGCAUGAAUCAUCAAACCACAUGCAACAGCAGAAGCCGAGGCUAUCAGUCAGCUAGAACGUGAGACUACUCCUGGCCAGCAGUCUGACCUGCGGGGCUGGAAUGUUCACAGAUACAGGAGAGGCUUUGAUAGGAAACCAGGACAGGAGGUGCAGGGGCAACGUGUGGAUUAUUAAUCUGGCACUGCGUAACAGCCUUCCCUGAUUCCCUCACCUGAACAACUAGUAGUAAUUAAGGAACAAUCACAUUUGAAUACGAAUUCUCGUCCCCCUCCCUGGCUCUAAAUAAAUGGCCAUGUGCUGGGAAUAGGGGAUACCCACUCUCUCAAAUGACACAUCACACAGCCUUGGCAGACUCAUCUCUCCUCCUACCCCUGACCCAUUCAAUAUUUUACCUCCAAGCCCGCCUAGCUGAGUCAAGGUUCAGGCCCCAUAAGGGCAUAUAUAGGGCUGGUAGCAUUGGCAAUGAAAGGCUAAGAGGUCAGAGUGUCCACCUUGUGACCAGGUUACUGAUGCAAUGAGUUGGGUGAGAUCAACUGGCCAGGAGCACAGUCCAGUGAAGUCUCACCUCUCAUCCUCACCUCCAAUAGGGUAGAGGGAGUAAAAGGGCCUCAGGACCCCAUGUUUUUGCCUUUCCUCCUCCCUUGCCUGCUUCUUAAGUGUGGUGAGCAGAGUUGAACUUGCAUCCCUCCUCAGCUGUGCCCAGAAUCAUGUGGAGGGGUCUCUUGGUUUGGAGCACACUGGCAGCUCUUGCUUCUUCCUCCUCCCUGCCCCUGGCCCCUGGCCCUAUUCCUCUGCUCUGCAGGUAGUGGGGCAGAAGGCAGGAGGUGAGGUAUUGCAGGCUGGACAGCUGAAGGUGUCAUCUGCCCCAAGGCCAAACUAAAAAAACCAGGGAUCUGUCCCAUGGACUGAGAUGAGGCCUGCAGGCAAAGCCUCAGGCCUGGAGGUCACCUCGCUGCUUUUGUGGCUGGGGUUUCCUACCCCAUAGGUACUUCU
ensembl:lncRNA